UCUUAGGCUGUGUUUGUGAGUUACUUGCUUCUACAGCAUUUCGUACAUUCUAUCCGAUAUGAACGGAUGCAAGAUGUUUAAUUGCGUGAAGUAUAUUGGUAAAGGAUGUGCUGUUCGAUUCAGAAGCACAUGGGCAGACUUCCGUAAAUCUUGUCAUGACUAUGACACAUAUAUAGGAGACCAGUAGGAAGUGAUAUAAUUGCCGGAUUGAGCCAGUUUUACACCGGGAAACAGUUAACGGACCUUCAUAUUCUUGAUGUUGGCUGUGGUACCGGUCUGUACGCAAAGGCUAUGUUGGACCAUGGGGUUGGCAGAAUGUCACUGAUUGAUGCCUCUCAAGAUAUGCUGAACGUAGCAAGCAGUAAACUUGCCACAGAAGUAAAACAAUGGCGCAUCUUGAGUUUAGAACACUUCCAGAUACCACCUUUACCAUACCGUAACGGGAGUUUUGACGUUGUGAUGAUGAACUUUGUUAUCCCCCAUUUAGAUUCUGGAAAUGAUAGAACAUUUCCCAAUGCCACUUGCUUGCUGGAGGAAGCCAACAGAUGUUUGAAAAAGAAUGGCAUAGUGGCAAUUACUACGAUACUUCCCGAAAACACCACAAACUACUGGUACCUGAAUCUGCAUCCUGAACACACCCAGAGGUGUUACCAGGUUUCGUCAUCCGUUUUCUACUGGCAGUAUAGAGGAAUUACUUCGUCACGUAACUUCCAAUGUUGUCAAAUUUUCCGAUGAUAUCAUCGUCGACCUAAAUUGUGCGUUUCAAUGUAUAGCUUGAUCAACAAAAGACUCUUUAAUCAAAAACGUAAACAAACAACUUUAAUUAUUCUCACUUUCCAAUUAACCUCCAACUAUGACAGUUUGUUAUUUUGACAAGCACGGUAAUUAAGCGACAUUCCGCAAACUUUCAUAACAAUGUUCGCACCUACAACUCGAUCUACAGUUCGACAUAAGGGCCAAGGAAAAUGUGUGAAAUUCGACCACUGGGACUGAAAUAGAAGGUCGACAUAGCGAAACAAUCGAGAUAGAAAAAUCGACACAAGCAGAUUUAUUUUAUAUAGAUUAAGAAGGAAUAAAUUCGGGACCGGAGAAAAAAAGUCGACAUAACCGGAAAGUCGAGAUAUCCGACGUCGACAUAGCGAUUUCGGACUGUACAUUGAACUUGACGGUGCUUAGGGGGCAUUCGUCACUUACUGUGAUAGCUCCAGUUCAUCCGCAAGAGAAACUUCAAGCGCAAACGAGCGAAAUAUUUGUAUUUCAAGCGCAAACGAGCGAAAUAUUUGUAUAAAACGUCUAGAAUAAGUAUUAGAAGAAAGUUUAUGUCUGUCAUUAACAAAGAGGAUUGCCGUGGCAAUGGUGAAUAAUGUAUUGGUCACCAUUGCAGGACCUUCAUAUUCUUGAUGUUGGCUGUGGUACCGGUCUGUACGCAAAGGCUAUGUUGGACCGUGGGGUUGGCAGAAUGUCACUGAUUGAUGCCUCUCAAGAUAUGCUGAACGUAGCAAGCAGUAAACUUGCCACAGAAGUAAAACAAGGGCGCAUCUUGAGUUUAGUACACUUCCAGGCACCACCUUUACCAUACCGUAACGGGAGUUUUGACGUUGUGAUGAUGAACUUUGUUAUCCCCCAUUUAGAUUCUGGAAAUGAUAGAACAUUUCCCAAUGCCACUUGCUUGCUGAAGGAAGCCAACAGAUGUUUGAAAAAGAAUGGCAUAGUGGCAAUUACUACGAUACUUCCCGAAAACACCACAAACUACUGGUACCUGAAUCUGCAUCCUGAACACACCCAGAGGUGUUACCAGGUUUCGUCAUCAUUAGAUGAGUUUGAAACAAUGUUUAGCAAAUCUGGUCUGCAGUCUAUCCGGAAAUUAACAUUUCUUGGACCAGGAAUCAUUAGUUAUAAAAAUAUUAUUAAUUCGAAUGCAUAUUUGGAUCAAAGCUGGGUGAACGCUGCUUGUGUAUAUGAGCUCACAACAGAUAAAGUAAUGAAAGCAAUACAUGAAAAGGUACAUAGAAUUGUUCAAAGCGGCAUGUGGCAACAAUGGAUGCAAGAGAAUGACUCAACGGAAGAACUUGGUGGCGUAACUCUACUUGUAUGCCAAAGAGGUCAUAAAGACUAGAUAUAUACAUGUAUACACACAUAUAUAUUUACAUGUCGAUGCAAACGAUAAUGUUUAAUGACAUUAUUUUUUAUUUGCAAUGUAUCUAAGCGAUUUAGAGGAAGAGCUUAUGACAAAAGGUGCUAUUAUGUAUCUAUUAUUAAAUACUGGUUUAAAGUGAUAGAGAGCUCGGAUAGAAAAUUUAUUAACAAUGUGUAUAACAUGAUGUUAAGAGACAUUGAUAUUAGACCAAGAAAAAAGAAUUGUGCAGCUAGUGUAAGAGACAUGCUGUGUAAUUUUAGGUUCAAUGAAGUAUGGUUAACACAAGGUGUUGGUGAUAUAAAUGUAUUUAUCAGCUUGUUUAAGCAAAGAGUCAACGAUAACUUUAUUCAAAAUCUUAAUAGUCGGAUAAAUGAUUAAUUUAGAGGAACGUUUUAUAAAUCUCUCGGUAAUUUUGAAUACCAAGCAUACUUGAAUAUUGAUAAUGUAGAAAAAUAUAGAAUUGCUAUGUUACGGUUAAGACUUAGUUCUCAUCGUUUACUGAUAGAAACUGGACGAUGGUCAAAUGUACCAAGAGAAGAUAAGAUCUGUAAUUUAUGCCAAGUACUUGAAGAUGAAUACCAUUUUUUGAUGGAAUGUAAUCUUUAUAAUACUAUUAGAGAUAAAUAUAUAAAACGAUAUUAUAAACUUAGGCCUAGUAUGUAUAAGACUGUACAACUUUUGCAGUCCGAAAACGUUAAUACUGUAAGAAACUUAUCAGUAUACAUAUAUCAUGCUUUUGAAUUAAGACAAUUAAGAAUGAGUGUAAACACGACUUAGUGUACGGUUACGUUGUAUUUGAAUAACGGUACUCUUUAUGCUAGACGUUAAGUGUAUAUAUGAAAUACAACAGAUUAAUAAAUUAUUCGGAAUAAGUUGACACACAUUAACCGGAUAGUAUCGAUGACAACCAUACAUAUUUGUACGUACAAGCCUGAUUUUGGUAUUCCAUAGACUAUCUUUCUGUUAAAAACUUAGUCCAAACAAGCAAAUCAUUAGUGAAGUUAUUUGUACAUAAGAGUACAGUAGUAACGAGAAUUGCUAAUCAAAAUUCAUGGUAUCAUUGUAGUGUUGUGCAUAAGUCAUACGGUUGAUAGAUAUACAGUUAAGUUAUAACUCAUAACCGAUAAAGACAAUUAUAUUAACUUAUAUGAAUAUAGUUGUUAAAUCUGUGAAUAUAUCAAUAGAGUCAAUCAAUCUGUUCCGCCAUACAUGUGUAUAUAAGUCAUUGUAUUACACUUCUUGUUUUUGACGAUGAAUACCUGAAACAAAAAAUUGGGUUGAAUAUAGCAUCCUUUCAUAACUAAACUUUCAUUGCUUUGAUUUUUAUGAAGAAUUUGCUAAUUCAUGUUAUCUUUAAAACCGUUUUUAGCGGACACUUGUUGACUGACUCCGAGUGUUUUGGCUGUGACUUAAUUUUCUACAAAUAUUUUACGUUUCAAAUCAUUUGGAACUAGAGAAUAUCAUAUACAAGUCGUUUUUAUUUUUAAUAAUGUAUUUCUUUAUAUGUUCCCAGUUUUAGUACAAUGAUGCUUUUUAUUAUGAAACUCUAUGAUCACACAGUUUUAAACCUUUUUUUAUAAGGCAGACUGUGUGUGAUGUUUGUGGUUUCUAACGAUGACUGCAUCGUAUCUUUGAAAAGUAUUUGCAUUAGGUGCUCUGAAUUGUUUCCCUCCGUCUGCAGAUAGAGUUGGGAUCUCUAAUCAUGGAAGUACUUGGGGUUUACCUUUUCGUUUUUUAUUAUUAUUUGUUUUAUCGAUAAGUUUCCUCAAGUUAAUGCAUACUUUGAUAAGGUCUACCUUUUGCGUUUUAUCUUUAUUAUGAAUUGUUGGGAUAAGAGUUAGGUUUGUGCACAUAAAUUGGUUAAAACCCCCAGUAAAUUUACAUUUUACUGACCGUUCCAAGGCGGUACCUAACAAUUCUUG